UUAAUAAAAAAGUUAUUCAUA
rnacentral:piRNA from 1 species